UGUGGUGUAGCUCAAUUGAGGAGAGCGCCCCUCGUCUGGGGAGAUGGGGGGGGGCAGGGAUCGUUACCUGGAUUAUCUCAUACGGUUGGUUAGACGUUAUCCGGGUUCAAAUCCCGGCGCCACAA
rnacentral:tRNA from 1 species